GCCGAGAUAUGGCAUUUUUGAUGCCCAUUUUUGGCCUCAAAAACGGACGUCGAAAACGACUUUUUCAGGAUUUUCAAAGUGCUCUCAUUCCCUUAGUUCUGCUCGGAUCCUGUUAUAACCCGGUGUUUUCGUAAUCUAGGUGACCCAAAUAAGACGCUGGUAUACUUAGUUUGAUUUCGAAAAAAAUUAAUUUUUGGUGAAAAAAUUCGAUACGGGGGGGUAUACCCGAAAAAUGAAAAAACCCAAACUUUGAAGGUCGAUAUCUCGGCUUCUAUGGGAGCUAUCGGGAAAAUUCCAACGGUUUUGUCUUAGUUUCGUCAUUCUGAAUCCAACGAGACCAUCUGCAAGGUCGUAGCUCAUACGAUAGCCGAGAUAUGGCAUUUUUGAUGCCCAUUUUUGGCCUCAAAAACGGACGUCGAAAACGACUUUUUCAGGAUUUUCAAAGUGCUCUCAUUCCCUUAGUUCUGCUCGGAUCCUGUUAUAACCCGGUGUUUUCGUAAUCUAGGUGACCCAAAUAAGACGCUGGUAUACUUAGUUUGAUUUCGAAAAAAAUCAAUUUUUGGUGAAAAAAUUCGAUACGGGGGGGUAUACCCGAAAAAUGAAAAAACCCAAACUUUGAAGGUCGAUAUCUCGGCUUCUUUGGGAGCUAUCGGGAAAAUUCCAACGGUUUUGUCUUAGUUUCGUCAUUCUAAAUCCAACGAGACCAUCCGCAAGGUCGUAGCUCAUACGAUAGCCGAGAUAUGGCAUUUUUGAUGCCCAUUUUUGGCCUGAAAAACGGACGUCGAAAACGACUUUUUCAGGAUUUUCAAAGUGCUCUCAUUCCCUUAGUUCUGCUCGGAUCCUGUUAUAACCUGGUGUUUUCGUAAUCUAGGUGACCCAAAUAAGACGCUGGUAUACUUAGUAUGAUUUCGAAAAAAAUGAAUUUUUGGUGAAAAAUUCGAUACGGGGGGGUAUACCCGAAAAAUGAAAAAACCCAAACUUUGAAGGUCGAUAUCUCGGCUUCUUUGGGAGCUAUCGGGAAAAUUCCAACGGUUUUGUCUUAGUUUCGUCAUUCUAAAUCCAACGAGACCAUCCGCA